rnacentral:rRNA from 1 species
CAGUCGCCGCGGUAAUACGUAGGGUGCGAGCGUUAAUCGGAAUUACUGGGCGUAAAGCGUGCGCAGGCGGUUAUAUAAGACAGAUGUGAAAUCCCCGGGCUCAACCUGGGACCUGCAUUUGUGACUGUAUAGCUAGAGUACGGUAGAGGGGGAUGGAAUUCCGCGUGUAGCAGUGAAAUGCGUAGAUAUGCGGAGGAACACCGAUGGCGAAGGCAAUCCCCUGGACCUGUACUGACGCUCAUGCACGAAAGCGUGAGGAGCAAACAGGAUUAGAUACCCCCGUAGUCCCUGUCUCUUAUAC